rnacentral:misc_RNA from 1 species
GACUCGUAAAACCGGUCAGGGUUCCUGGACCGGUGUUUCGGCAGAGGAGCUCGGAGAGACGAACAGUCAGCACGAUGCCUUUGCGAGGAGUUGUUGUGAUGCUGGCGUGUGCGCCGUUCCUGGCCCAAGUGUUUACGAGUGCGUCCGAUUGCGGCUGGCGGAGAUACCAGUGCACCAGCGGGCAGUGCAUUGCCGCCCAGUAUCUUUGUGACGGCGAAAAGGAGUGUGCCGACGGCAGCGACGAGUCGGAGGCUGCGUGCGGCCGCACCCCCACCACUCAACUUCCCGUCGGUAACGUGGUGACGGUGAAGGUUCGGAGGGGGAAUGAGCAUGAAGACGUUAAUUUCCACAUAUGCAGCAGCGCCGCCUGUAGUUCACUAAGCCUUGCGGGACAUUCACCCAAGAAGUCGCUGCGGUACAUCGCCUACGUCAAGAACAACGCGCAGGGCGACCACGGCCAGAAACACCACGAGACGUUUCAAAAAGACCCCAACGGUUGGACCUCGUUCCCCGAGGGCGAGUUGGUGUUCGAGGUGCAGCACCGGCCCAACGAGCUGGCCGUCUGGCUGGCGGGCCACCCGGACAAGGCGGCCGUGGUGCCCGUCCAGGAGCCCAGCGACAAGCUGCUGGUGAAGCAUAACUAUUGGAGCGUAUCCAUGCCCGUCGAGUUCAUCGGCAACAAAGCCGCUUGCAGCGACACGGAGUUCCGGUGCCUCGACGGGGACUGCAUCGACUCGGUACGUCGCUGUGACGGCCAGAAGCACUGCGGCGACAACAGUGACGAGGACGUGAAACUGUGUGACGGGGCCCCCUCCACCGUGCUCCCCAAGGGCAACGUGGUGACGGUGGGCGUCUACAGGAAGCAGUUCCAUGGGGACGUCGAGUUCCACCUCUGCACGAGCUCCGACUGCAGCGUGCUGCGCGUGGCCGGCAACGACGCCGCCUCCAACCUCGCCUACACCGCCAUCGUCAAGGCCAACGCACGUGGCGGCAAUGGAACCAACUACGCCCAGACGUUCGAGAAGGACGCUGUGAGCUGGCGGUGGUUCCCCGAGGGCGAGGUGGAGUUCGAGGCGCAGCACCGCCCCUCCGAGCUGGCCGUCUGGCUCAGGGGCCACCCCGACAAGGCGGCCGCGGUGCCGGUGGAGGAAAAGAAGUACAUGCUGCUGCGCGUGCUGCCGCGCCACCGUAGGACGGACAUGCCGGUCACCUUCGAAGGCAACGCGCCGGCGUGCGGGGACUCGCAGUUCCGCUGCGGCGACGGCGAGUGCGUGGCGGCAGCGCUGCGCUGCGACGGCAGGAGGGACUGCGUGGACGGCAGCGACGAGGACGACAUUCUCGCAAUGUGUCAAUGGGUGGCUGCCCCGGCGAGUACCAAUUGCACGUUUAGACACUACCAAUGCACCAGCGGGCAAUGCAUCGACUCGGAUCUGCGAUGUGACGGCCGAAAGCAAUGUGACGACGGCAGUGACGAGUCGGACUCAGCGUGCGGCCGCCCCACCACCACGCAACUUCUCGUCGGAAACGUGGUGACGGUGAAGGUGCAGAAGAAGAAAGUGCAAGGCAACGUUAGAAUCAACCUGUGCAGCAGCACCGCCUGCAGUGGACUUUCCAUUGGGGGAUCCUCAGCCAACAAGUCGUUGGCGUACGUCGCCUACGUCCGCAGCAACGAGCGGGGUGACUUCGGCCGGAAACACCACCAGAUGUUCGAGAACGACUUCAAGGGUUGGACUUCGUUCCCCGAGGGCGAGUUGGUGUUCGAGGUGCAGCACCGGCCCAACGAGCUGGCCGUCUGGCUGGCGGGCCACCCGGACAAGGCGGCCGUGGUGCCCGUCCAGGAGCCCAGCGACAAGCUGCUGGUGACGCCUUACCUUCGGAGCUACGUCAUGCCCGUCGAGUUCAUCGGCAACAAAGCCGAAUGCAGCGACACGGAGUUCCGGUGCCUCGACGGGGACUGCAUCGACUCGGUACGUCGCUGUGACGGCCAUAAGCACUGCGGUGACAACAGUGACGAGGACGUGAAACUGUGUGACGGGGCAAUUGUAGGCUGCGGCAGAGGCGGCCCGGGCCCUGCGACCCUCGUGCAGAACGGCAACAAGACCUCCAUCGAGUCCGUGCCGUGGCACGCGGGCAUCUUCGUCGAGGCCAAUGGCCGCCUCCAGAACGUGUGUGGCGGCAGUCUCGUGUCCCCGUGCAUCGUUGUUACAGCUGCGCAUUGUCUUUUGCAAGGAAAGAUAUUUGUCGCUCUGGGCAAAUUUCUCAGUGGCUGGCAUUCUGAAUCCGGGGAAGACGUUCACAAGACUGAGGCAUGCACGAAAAUAAUGGGUCAAAAGAAUUAUCAAGCAUCCUCACUAUUUGGGCUACAUAUCCAAGCUGGUUUCCGACAUAGCAGUGCUUGAACUGAAAAACUGCAGCCCCAUCAGCAAGAAAAUUUCACCAAUCUGCAUUGAUAAGAAUGUGAAGCCCGUCUUGUCAGCUGACGUCAAGGUCGCUGGCUGGGGCAACGAGACGACCGUCUUGACGGACCUGGCGUCCGUGACCCUGAGGCAGCUCACUUUCGACGACUGUUUGGCCCUGAUGACAAAGAAUGGUCCGCACGUUGCUUACGUGACGCUCGACAAGUUUUGCG